CCUACGGGAGGCAGCAGUGGGGAAUCUUGGACAAUGGGGGCAACCCUGAUCCAGCCAUGCCGCGUGAGUGAUGAAGGCCCUAGGGUCGUAAACCUCUUUCGCCUGCGAAGAUAAUGACGGUAGCAGGUAAAGAAACCCCGGCUAACUCCGUGCCAGCAGCCGCGGUAAU
rnacentral:rRNA from 1 species